GCCCGGCAGCUGCCCCGUCUGAGAAGUGAGGAGCCUCUCCGCCCGGCAGCCACCCCAUCUGGGAAGUGAGGAGCAUCUCCGCCCAGCAGCCACCCCGUCCGGGAGGGAGGUGGGGGGGGGUCAGCCCCCCACCCGGCCAGCCACCCCAUCCGGGAGGGAGGUGGGGGGUCAGCCCCCCCGCCCGGCCAGCUGUGCCAUCCGGGAGGGAGGUGGGGGGGUCAGCCCCCCGCCCGGCCAGCCGCCCCGUCCGGGAGGUGAGGGGCGCCU
rnacentral:lncRNA from 1 species